rnacentral:tRNA from 1 species
UGGGGCUUGAACUCUGGUAGAGCGCUUGCCUUGCAUGCAUGAGGCCGUGGGUUCGAUUUCCUCAGCACCAC